rnacentral:sRNA from 2 species
CGUUCCGGGACACCGAGCAAACCCCUGGGCAGGAGCGGGGGACCCAGGUUAGUUGCCGCCCCCAACGGCUUGGGGUGAAGCCGCGCACCCGCGCGGCCGGGCCACCUCCCGGUCCGAACCCGACAGCUCACCUCGCAGGCGUACGGAGAGGAACG